UACGGGGGGGGCAAGCGUUGUUCGGAAUUACUGGGCGUAAAGGGCUCGUAGGCGGCCAACUAAGUCAGACGUGAAAUCCCUCGGCUUAACCGGGGAACUGCGUCUGAUACUGGAUGGCUGGAGUUUGGGAGAGGGAUGCGGAAUUCCAGGUGUAGCGGUGAAAUGCGUAGAUAUCUGGAGGAACACCGGUGGCGAAGGCAGCAUCCUGGACCAAUACUGACGCUGAGGAGCGAAAGCCAGGGGAGCAAAGCGGG
rnacentral:rRNA from 1 species